GUUGAAGGUUGGGUAACACUAACUGGAGGACCGAACCGACUAAUGUUGAAAAAUUAGCGGAUGACUUGUGGCUGGGGGUGAAAGGCCAAUCAAACCGGGAGAUAGCUGGUUCUCCCCGAAAGCUAUUUAGGUAGCGCCUCGUGAAUUCAUCUCCGGGGGUAGAGCACUGUUUCGGCAAGGGGGUCAUCCCGACUUACCAACCCGAUGCAAACUGCGAAUACCGGAGAAUGUUAUCACGGGAGACACACGGCGGGUGCUAACGUCCGUCGUGAAGAGGGAAACAACCCAGACCGCCAGCUAAGGUCCCAAAGUCAUGGUUAAGUGGGAAACGAUGUGGGAAGGCCCAGACAGCCAGGAUGUUGGCUUAGAAGCAGCCAUCAUUUAAAGAAAGCGUAAUAGCUCACUGGUCGAGUCGGCCUGCGCGGAAGAUGUAACGGGGCUAAACCAUGCACCGAAGCUGCGGCAGCGACACUGUGUGUUGUUGGGUAGGGGAGCGU
rnacentral:rRNA from 1 species